GACGUAGGGUCCAAGCGUUAUCCGGAUUUACUGGGCGUAAAGAGCGCGUAGGCGGUCUGUUAAGUGAGAAGUGAAAUCUUCAGGGCUCAACCCGAAAAUUGCUUUUCAUACUGGCAGACUUGAGGGAUGGAGAGGUAUGUGGAAUUCCUGGUGUAGCGGUGAAAUGCGUUGAUAUCAGGAGGAACACCCAUGGCGAAGGCAGCAUACUGGACAGUUACUGACGCUGAGGCACGAAGGCCAGGGGAGCAAACGGG
rnacentral:rRNA from 1 species